GAUGAACGCUGGCGGCGUGCCUAAUACAUGCAAGUCGAGCGAACGGACGAGAAGCUUGCUUCUCUGAUGUUAGCGGCGGACGGGUGAGUAACACGUGGAUAACCUACCUAUAAGACUGGGAUAACUUCGGGAAACCGGAGCUAAUACCGGAUAAUAUUUUGAACCGCAUGGUUCAAAAGUGAAAGACGGUCUUGCUGUCACUUAUAGAUGGAUCCGCGCUGCAUUAGCUAGUUGGUAAGGUAACGGCUUACCAAGGCAACGAUGCAUAGCCGACCUGAGAGGGUGAUCGGCCACACUGGAACUGAGACACGGUCCAGACUCCUACGGGAGGCAGCAGUAGGGAAUCUUCCGCAAUGGGCGAAAGCCUGACGGAGCAACGCCGCGUGAGUGAUGAAGGUCUUCGGAUCGUAAAACUCUGUUAUUAGGGAAGAACAUAUGUGUAAGUAACUGUGCACAUCUUGACGGUACCUAAUCAGAAAGCCACGGCUAACUACGUGCCAGCAGCCGCGGUAAUACGUAGGUGGCAAGCGUUAUCCGGAAUUAUUGGGCGUAAAGCGCGCGUAGGCGGUUUUUUAAGUCUGAUGUGAAAGCCCACGGCUCAACCGUGGAGGGUCAUUGGAAACUGGAAAACUUGAGUGCAGAAGAGGAAAGUGGAAUUCCAUGUGUAGCGGUGAAAUGCGCAGAGAUAUGGAGGAACACCAGUGGCGAAGGCGACUUUCUGGUCUGUAACUGACGCUGAUGUGCGAAAGCGUGGGGAUCAAACAGGAUUAGAUACCCUGGUAGUCCACGCCGUAAACGAUGAGUGCUAAGUGUUAGGGGGUUUCCGCCCCUUAGUGCUGCAGCUAACGCAUUAAGCACUCCGCCUGGGGAGUACGACCGCAAGGUUGAAACUCAAAGGAAUUGACGGGGACCCGCACAAGCGGUGGAGCAUGUGGUUUAAUUCGAAGCAACGCGAAGAACCUUACCAAAUCUUGACAUCCUUUGACAACUCUAGAGAUAGAGCCUUCCCCUUCGGGGGACAAAGUGACAGGUGGUGCAUGGUUGUCGUCAGCUCGUGUCGUGAGAUGUUGGGUUAAGUCCCGCAACGAGCGCAACCCUUAAGCUUAGUUGCCAUCAUUAAGUUGGGCACUCUAAGUUGACUGCCGGUGACAAACCGGAGGAAGGUGGGGAUGACGUCAAAUCAUCAUGCCCCUUAUGAUUUGGGCUACACACGUGCUACAAUGGACAAUACAAAGGGCAGCGAAACCGCGAGGUCAAGCAAAUCCCAUAAAGUUGUUCUCAGUUCGGAUUGUAGUCUGCAGCUCGACUACAUGAAGCUGGAAUCGCUAGUAAUCGUAGAUCAGCAUGCUACGGUGAAUACGUUCCCGGGUCU
rnacentral:rRNA from 1 species